GGACCGCUUUGAUAUUUUACCCAAAUUCGCUCUAGUCGGUCUCAAAUUCAUUUCGCAACCUUCAACUUACAGUCAUCGCAUAAACGUGACCAGCACCACCAUCGUCGCCUGCUGCAAAAAACAUGGGUCUCUCUAUCCUCUUUCCGUGAACCUCAACGCAAAAUUCGUGACAGACCUUCAAGAAUUAUCGCCACCCGCUUUCGCCCAUUCUGCUAUCUCGUUCCCCUCAUGACCCAUUCCGUGCAUAUAUGCACGUAGAUUGAAACCCCAUUUCAACGCCCUUGUUUUGAAGCUUUUUCUCUGUCCAGGUCAGAAGGUAUUUCCUACUAUCACUCGUCAUUGGUCACAAAUAUCAGUUGCGGUAUGCCUAUAGUAAAUUCAUGAGGAGAACAACACAUCAAAAUGUCGCAUCACGAGGUCCAGACCUAUGGCCUAUUAGGAAGGCCCUUACAUUGUCUGAUGUGGAUAUCACUCAUCCGUUCCUCACUCUACCUCGCCAACCAGUUGAGGAUCAUAUUGUCGUGCAUUUGGCCCCACAAGAUCGGGACCAUUUAAGAAACUUAGAGCAUGUAAUUGUCAAUGCCCAAGAUGAUGAUACUGGCGACACGUAUAUGAUGAAGCUGAAGUGGCGUGGGAGUUACUAUAACCUAAUUGGGAAAUGGGGCACAAUUGUUCGAGGGAAGGGACUUGUUGUUGGGAGGGAAAUCAAAAUACGCUGGCGUAACGAGUGCUUACACUUCUCCGUUUCACCACAGCAGGACGUUGUAGUACCCCAAAGGCAGAUUGUUGCAGCACCACAAGAGCAGCAACAAUGGCCUAUUAAAAAGGUCUUGACUUUUUCUGAUGUGGAUACCAAUCACCCAUUCCUCCCUUUGCCUCGCCGAUCAGUUGAAGAUCAUAUUCUUAUGCAUUUGACACAUCAAGAACGAGAACAUCUGAGAAAUGAAGAGCCACUAAAUGUGAAUGCUAUAGAUUACGAUACUGGUGAUGUGUAUCUAAUGAAACUGAAGUUGCGUGCCAAUUAUUAUAACCUUAUUGGGAACUGGGGAAAAAUUGUUCGACGGAAGGGACUUGGUGUGGGGAAAGAGAUCAAAAUACGGUGGGCGAACAAAUGCUUACACUUCUCAGUCCCACCAGAGCAGCAUGUUGGAGUGCCCUUACUGCUGGAUCAAUGGCCUAUUAAGAAGGCACUAACAUUGUCUGAUGUGGAUAUAAAUCAUCCAUUUCUCACUUUGCCUGGAAAAGCGGUUGAAGAUCAUAUUCUUAUUCAUUGGUUGCCGCAAGUACGUGAGCAGCUGAUAAUUGAUCGGCAAGUCAAUAUUAAUGCUCAAGAUUUUGAUACGGGUGAUCAUUAUGCAAUGAAGUUGAGGUGGCGUGGGAGUUAUUAUAAUCUUAUUGGCAAAUGGGGCACAAUUGUUCGAGGGAAGCGACUUAGUGUAGGAACAGAGAUUAGGGUAUGCUGGGAUAAUGGAUGCCUUCUCUUCUCAGUUCCGCAGUGAUAUAGGUACCAACGAUGUAUAGGAAAAUAUCUCAACCAAAAUUAUAUUGGUCAGUUGAUGCCUUCAUCUCUUAUUUAAUUUAUUUGUUUUGCUCUUUUUGAUGUAUCCUGUGCACAUCUAUGGUUUGUGAUCGGGUUUGGGUUUUGGGUGUGGGUGCAUAUUGUGGGAUCAGACCCGCUAAACCUCUAAUUGAAGGGUACAUGAUCUUGGGAAAAAGAGUCCUAUCCAAAAAACAUAAAUUUAUAUAUGCUCCGUCCCUUGUCAUUAGUCCUUCAUUCCGAUUCAGAGUAUCGCGAAACAUUUGCCCUUUUUGAAAAUUCAAAGAGAAAAAUGCUCAAAUGUCCGACAGUAAUCCUAAGAAAAUUGAUUAGAAGUAGUUUUAGAAAUGGGGAUAAGGGAAAGUGUCUCCUUAUGGGUGAACAAAUCCAUCCCGAUUCUUUAACCGAGGACCUCUUGGAAAUAAGUCUCUAUUACCAUGAUAGAUAACCAUCAUCUAAAAGCUUAAACAAUCCGAAUAUGAACCGACCAAUGCAUGUCAAGCUGUAACAAGGCAUAUUACAAGCCACUUCUAUGCUAGUAGUUUUAAUAAUUUUUCCUUUUUUGGGGCAGACUUGUCUUUAUUUUUGUUUGUUUGGCGUUGACCUUUUCAUACCAGUAAAAUGUGGUAAGUUGGUGUUCCAAAUUGUUCCAUCUACCACGAAGUUUCAAGUAUAACUUGAUUUCUUCCCUAUUGCAAGUGCCAUUCAAGUAUGCUUGGGACAGCCUGGGGGCAACUUUGGGGCUUUCAUGAGUUGCAGUACUUGUAUAUGUAAUUCAGUUCAAUGUUCUGUACUUAUGUUGAUAGUACUACUUAGAAAGGAUUCUAUGCUCAUGUUGUGGAGUUGGAUGUCAAUUGGUCAUGGUCAAACUAAGAAUCUUGGUUCAUGUCUCUGCAAUGUAAACGCUGACCAUCAGGCUCCAACAGUGAAGAGUGGUUUCCUUUCUGAGAAAAUUGUUUAGAAUCGAAGAACCUCUGUCAAUUCCUGUUUCAUUCCUACAAACUGUGAAGAGUGGUGUGAAAGGAAGGUAGGCCACUGCCCACCUAUAUGAAAUUCCACGCUGCAAGAUGGACAUCUGCCUCCAACUCUUCCCUCAAAUCAGUUUCUCAUUCUACUAACCUUCAGCUUUCACUCAUUUAUUUAAACCCAUAUUCACAGUUGUAGUAACCACAAAAUAGGAGACUCGGGAUAAAAGGCAGACCUGCAGAUUGAAGAGCUAUCAUUGUUACUACGAAUAUAAUUGUUAUUGUUUGUGGCCAUGGUGCAGUGAAAUUAUGUUAUUCAACAUCAGCUGUUCGUUGGCUUCGGCCAUAGUAGGUGACAGGACCACUCAUGUUUCAGUUGCUGAGCCAACCAACUGCAGUGGGUAAGCCCAAGAACGAGUCUACUUGCUGAGCUAUUACCUCAGCCAGCUCGACCGACAACGUGGUUUUUGAUUGAAAGGUUAUUCACUAAAACCUUUCUCUUUAGUUGAUGCUAUAUGUCAUCAUAUUGGAAAGGCAGUUCGUGGUUUUAGUUUCCUUAAUUUUCUCUCUUUGUAAUCAGUUUUGGAAAGGGAGUUCAUUAUGUUAGUAUACUUAAUUCCCUUCUCUUUAUUUAGUAAGAUUUGGACUUGGAAGUCUUCUCCAGAGGGUUGUCUAUGUAAUGCAAGAGCAUUAUAUUAUAGAGUAGCUGCCAACUGAAUUAGCAACAUCAUGGGAGUGUUACAUUUCAUGCUUUGAGGUUAUUGAAGGAACAAAGUUGAUGUCACUAUUGAACUCUCAAUACUCUCUUAUGGCUUUUAAUCCUCAACUGAUCAGGGUUAAAGGGUGAUGAUUCCCCACUACGUCAUAAGGAUUCUUUUUGAAAACACUAAGCUAGCUGAGGUGUUAUCCAGUUGUCUAUGCUGUCACACCAAGCUGUGGUAUUUGAGCAAUUCUGCGUUACCCAAUAGACUUUGCUUCUCCAUAGAGACAUAUGCUCGGAGUUCCAUGUGCCAUGAGAUGUCAACUGACUUGUUUGACACACACAUUGACAAUGUACCCCGGCUCAUGUAGUAGCUAUCUUUCUUCUAAGGAAUCUCAUUUGAGUGUGAGUCAGAAAAUCAGAAAACUUGUUAGCUUGGAAAGAAAAGAAAAGGAAGAAAGAGUUAAAGAAACGGUAUUAGUUUUACUACCAAAUGCCUUUUUAUUUUCUCCCAUUUCUUUGCAAGCAAUUUUUAACUGACGUGUUGGCUCGUCAUUGUAACUUUACGCGAAUUACUGCCUGUAUAUCUCUUUCUGUUUUUUGUUGUGAAACUGAAAACUGCCUGUAUACUUCCAACUUAACUAACACGGUUUCAUGAUUUUGAGCUAGGCAACUCGAGUGUCAUUGCAAGCCCUAUGGUGCUUCAGAGCUGCUUGUUCAUAUUGAAUUGAUUUGUUAUAUUCAAAGUAAAAAUUGUAUAAAAGCUCGGGAAUCAUGGACAUUUGCAGAAAUCAGUUUUGUGAUUGGAAGGACGUUAGCCUACGCAAGCUCAAUGCUCCUCUUAGAUUGUAAGCACAUAUUUGCUUCCUAUGAAGCAUGGACACCUCUAGAGGUCGACGUAUUGCAGUGUUGGACACGGGGACACGUAUGAGAAUGUGGCAUGUCCCAUAAUUUAAUUUAAAUUUUUUACAGGGACACGGGGGGACACUGCGAGGGUCAAAGUGUAUUUUUAAAAAAAAAAUUGGGGGUCAAAUUGUAAUUUUUAAAAAUUUUGGGGAGGGAGGUUCAAACUGUAAUUUUUCAAUUGGGUUGUUUUGAACUUAUGGAUGUCUUGUUUUGUUUAAAUGAUAUUGGAACUAUAGAUUUUUCGUUUUGUCCACAUUUUGCCAUUUAAACUUGGGAAAAAAUUGAAAAACAAAUAUAAAUAAGUAUACACGUGGAGUGUCCUCCGUUGUUCCGUGUUCCCAUUUUUUUAGAAUUCCCGUGUCUCUGUGUCCGUGUCCGUGCAUCAUAGUUUGCUUGUCAUUCCAUGCAAGUUUCGUGCAAACAAAUAGUUUUCAUUUCUUUUUACUUCAACUUUUGUAUACUUGUUUACUUAUCAGUAAGUUUGCUAGCUGCAACCCUUAAUCUUUAGCCCCUUGUAAAACAACCCAUGUGAUGCAUUUCAGCUCCAAGAAAUUGGCAGUUAUCAUCUGAGGCCGUUGAGAUAAUUCCCAAAUAGUGGAAGCAGACAAUUGGUAGAAUAAGACCCAGUUCCUGUUAAUAAAAAGCGAACAAGACCCAAGUUUCCAGAUAUUACACGCGAUGCAUUAAUAGUGGUGUUUGAUGAAGCACACUUUAGACGAUUGUGCGGCUAUUGUUGGCUGAAAAGUGUUGUAAGUUCCACCAUUUUAAGUGCGAGAAAGCAAACAGUGGAAGUGUGGAACGAAGUGUUGAAGAUGUGAAGAGCUGGUUGUCUCUUGACUCCAAAUUUACUUCACCCAAACCCAUUAGUUUCUUCUUUGGCAUCAGCUCUCCCCUUCUGUUUCCUGCUGUUCAUUUUUCUGUCUAUUGUUGUGUUACACACUAUUCUAGUGGUUCAUUGUGUGUUUAGCUGUCUAU